CUUGUGGAGAGUAAAAGAAAAUGUAAGUAGUAUUUAGAGUUAUCUAAUACGAAAGCAUACUCAAUGAAACAAGAA
ncrna:unclassified sequences RAGATH-18 RNA